rnacentral:rRNA from 1 species
CAGUCGCCGCGGUAAUACGUAGGGUGCGAGCGUUAAUCGUAAUUACUGGGCGUAAAGCGUGCGCAGGCGGUUCGUUAAGACAGAUGUGAAAUCCCCGGGCUUAACCUGGGAACUGCAUUUGUGACUGGCGAGCUAGAGUAUGGCAGAGGGGGGUAGAAUUCCACGUGUGGCAGUGAAAUGCGUAGAGAUGUGGAGGAAUACCGAUGGCGAAGGCAGCCCCCUGGGCCAAUACUGACGCUCAUGCACGAAAGCGUGGGGAGCAAACAGGAUUAGAUACCCCAGUAGUCCCUGUCUCUUAUAC